GAUGAACGCUGGCGGCGUGCCUAAUACAUGCAAGUCGAGCGAACAGACGAGGAGCUUGCUCCUCUGACGUUAGCGGCGGACGGGUGAGUAACACGUGGAUAACCUACCUAUAAGACUGGGAUAACUUCGGGAAACCGGAGUUAAUACCGGAUAAUAUAUUGAACCGCAUGGUUCAAUAGUGAAAGACGGUUUUGCUGUCACUUAUAGAUGGAUCCGCGCCGCAUUAGCUAGUUGGUAAGGUAACGGCUUACCAAGGCAACGAUGCGUAUCCGACCUGAGAGGGUGAUCGGCCACACUGGAACUGAGACUCGGUCCAGACUCCUACGGGAGGCAGCAGUAGGGAAUCGUCCGCAAUGGGCGAAAGCCUGACGGAGCAACGCCGCUUGAGUGAUGAAGGUCUUCGGAUCGUAAAACUCUGUUAUUAGGGAAGAACAAAUGUGUAAGUAACUAUGCACGUCUUGACGGUACCUAAUCAGAAAGCCACGGCUAACUACGUG
rnacentral:rRNA from 1 species